rnacentral:rRNA from 1 species
CACUAUCGUUAACUGAAUACAUAGGUUAACGAGGCGAACCGGGGGAACUGAAACAUCUAAGUACCCCGAGGAAAAGAAAUCAACCGAGAUUCCCCCAGUAGCGGCGAGCGAACGGGGAGCAGCCCAGAGUCUGAAUCAGCUUGUGUGUUAGUGGAACGGUCUGGAAAGUCCGACGGUACAGGGUGAUAGUCCCGUACACCAAAAUGCACAGGCUGUGAACUCGAAGAGUAGGGCGGGACACGUGGUAUCCUGUCUGAAUAUGGGGGGACCAUCCUCCAAGGCUAAAUACUCCUGACUGACCGAUAGUGAACCAGUACCGUGAGGGAAAGGCGAAAAGAACCCCGGCGAGGGGAGUGAAAAAGAACCUGAAACCGUGUACGUACAAGCAGUGGGAGCACCUUCGGGUGUGACUGCGUACCUUUUGUAUAAUGGGUCAGCGACUUAUAUUCUGUAGCAAGGUUAACCGUAUAGGGGAGCCGCAGGGAAACCGAGUCUUAACUGGGCGUUAAGUUGCAGGGUAUAGACCCGAAACCCGGUGAUCUAGCCAUGGGCAGGUUGAAGGUUGGGUAACACUAACUGGAGGACCGAACCGACUAAUGUUGAAAAAUUAGCGGAUGACUUGUGGCUGGGGGUGAAAGGCCAAUCAAACCGGGAGAUAGCUGGUUCUCCCCGAAAGCUAUUUAGGUAGCGCCUCGUGAACUCAUCUUCGGGGGUAGAGCACUGUUUCGGCUAGGGGGUCAUCCCGACUUACCAACCCGAUGCAAACUACGAAUACCGAAGAAUGUUAUCACGGGAGACACACGGCGGGUGCUAACGUCCGUCGUGAAGAGGGAAACAACCCAGACCGCCAGCUAAGGUCCCAAAGUCAUGGUUAAGUGGGAAACGAUGUGGGAAGGCACAGACAGCCAGGAUGUUGGCUUAGAAGCAGCCAUCAUUUAAAGAAAGCGUAAUAGCUCACUGGUCGAGUCGGCCUGCGCGGAAGAUGUAACGGGGCUAAACCAUGCACCGAAGCUGCGGCAGCGACACUAUGUGUUGUUGGGUAGGGGAGCGUUCUGUAAGCCUGCGAAGGUGGCCUGUGAGGGUUGCUGGAGGUAUCAGAAGUGCGAAUGCUGACAUAAGUAACGAUAAAGCGGGUGAAAAGCCCGCUCGCCGGAAGACCAAGGGUUCCUGUCCAACGUUAAUCGGGGCAGGGUGAGUCGACCCCUAAGGCGAGGCCGAAAGGCGUAGUCGAUGGGAAACAGGUUAAUAUUCCUGUACUUGGUGUUACUGCGAAGGGGGGACGGAGAAGGCUAUGUUAGCCGGGCGACGGUUGUCCCGGUUUAAGCAUGUAGGCUGGUUAUCCAGGCAAAUCCGGAUAAUCAAGGCUGAGGUGUGAUGACGAGGUACUACGGUGCUGAAGUAACAAAUGCCCUGCUUCCAGGAAAAGCCUCUAAGCAUCAGGUAACAUCAAAUCGUACCCCAAACCGACACAGGUGGUCAGGUAGAGAAUACCAAGGCGCUUGAGAGAACUCGGGUGAAGGAACUAGGCAAAAUGGUGCCGUAACUUCGGGAGAAGGCACGCUGGUGUGUAGGUGAAGUCCCUGCGGAUGGAGCUGAGACCAGUCGAAGAUACCAGCUGGCUGCAACUGUUUAUUAAAAACACAGCACUGUGCAAACACGAAAGUGGACGUAUACGGUGUGACGCCUGCCCGGUGCCGGAAGGUUAAUUGAUGGGGUUAUCCGUAAGGAGAAGCUCUUGAUCGAAGCCCCGGUAAACGGCGGCCGUAACUAUAACGGUCCUAAGGUAGCGAAAUUCCUUGUCGGGUAAGUUCCGACCUGCACGAAUGGCGUAAUGAUGGCCAGGCUGUCUCCACCCGAGACUCAGUGAAAUUGAACUCGCUGUGAAGAUGCAGUGUACCCGCGGCAAGACGGAAAGACCCCGUGAACCUUUACUAUAGCUUGACACUGAACAUUGAGCCUUGAUGUGUAGGAUAGGUGGGAGGCUUUGAAGCGUGGACGCCAGUCUGCGUGGAGCCAACCUUGAAAUACCACCCUUUAAUGUUUGAUGUUCUAACGUGGGCCCCUAAUCGGGGUUGCGGACAGUGUCUGGUGGGUAGUUUGACUGGGGCGGUCUCCUCCCAAAGCGUAACGGAGGAGCACGAAGGUUAGCUAAUCCUGGUCGGACAUCAGGAGGUUAGUGCAAUGGCAUAAGCUAGCUUGACUGCGAGCGUGACGGCGCGAGCAGGUGCGAAAGCAGGUCAUAGUGAUCCGGUGGUUCUGAAUGGAAGGGCCAUCGCUCAACGGAUAAAAGGUACUCCGGGGAUAACAGGCUGAUACCGCCCAAGAGUUCAUAUCGACGGCGGUGUUUGGCACCUCGAUGUCGGCUCAUCACAUCCUGGGGCUGAAGUAGGUCCCAAGGGUAUGGCUGUUCGCCAUUUAAAGUGGUACGCGAGCUGGGUUUAGAACGUCGUGAGACAGUUCGGUCCCUAUCUGCCGUGGGCGCUGGAGAAUUGAGGGGGGCUGCUCCUAGUACGAGAGGACCGGAGUGGACGCAUCACUGGUGUUCGGGUUGUCAUGCCAAUGGCACUGCCCGGUAGCUAAAUGCGGAAGAGAUAAGUGCUGAAAGCAUCUAAGCACGAAACUUGCCCCGAGAUGAGUUCUCCCUGAGACUUUAAGUCUCCUGAAGGAACGUUGAAGACGACGACGUUGAUAGGCCGGGUGUGUAAGCGCAGCGAUGCGUUGAGCUAACCGGUACUAAUGAACCGUGAGGCUUAACCUU